rnacentral:misc_RNA from 1 species
AACUUUUAACAACGGAUCACUUGGUUCUGGCAUCGAUGAAGAACGCAGCGAAAUGCGAUAAGUAAUGUGAAUUGCAGAAUACAGUGAAUCAUCGAAUCUUUGAACGCACAUAGCGCCCAUUAGUAUUCUAUUGGGCAUGCCUGUUCGAGCGUCAUUUCAACCCUUAAGCUCAGCUUAGUGUUGGGAAUCUACCGAGAGCGGUGUUACACGCUACCUACCCUAUAACGGUGCUAGGUUUUCCUGUAGCGUCCCUGUAGUUCCUUAAAUCCAACGGCGGAGGCAUGGUCAUCUCUGAGCGCAGUAAUUUUUAUCACGCUUUUGAAGAUGCUAUAGCCCUUGCCGGUAAACCCCCAAUUUUUUAAGGGUUGACCUCGGAUCAGGUAGGAAUACCCGCUGAACUUAAGCAUAUCAAUAAGCGGAGGCU